rnacentral:rRNA from 1 species
UACAGAGACUGCAAGCGUUUAUUCGGAUUCACUGGGCGUAAAGGGUGCGCAGGCGGCCGGGUGUGUCAGAUGUGAAAUCCCGAGGCUCAACCUCGGAACUGCGUCUGAAACUACUCGGCUAGAGUACUGGAGAGGGUAACGGAAUUCACGGUGUAGCAGUGAAAUGCGUAGAUAUCGUGAGGAACACCAGAGGCGAAGGCGGUUACCUGGACAGUUACUGACGCUCAGGCACGAAAGCAUGGGGAGCAAAAGGG